AGCAAUCCUGCACGGGUCCUGGUGUAAGGCGGCAGCUUCCCGGCCACGCUGCCUUCUCCGGGGCCUCGAUUUACCGGCCACGCCGGAGAGUCCGCUGAGCCCAAGACUGACAGGUCCCGCCCGGGGCCGUCACUGGGCCCUCGUCCCAUCCUCUUCCAGGGGCUCGCCAGCCUACAAAAGCCCCACCGGCCCCCUGUCGCACCCCCCAAGCGGAGACUGGGCUUCCUGUCUUUUUGCCAUGCACUUGUUGCAGAAGCAGCCAAGGCCCCGGCUCCGGAGGAUGCAGAAGGAGGAAGGCACCAGAGUAGCCCGGCCCUGAACGCACCACCCUCACCUCCUGCAACAGGUAGCGUCUCUGGGGUUCUUGGCACCAGAACAGUGUGUGGCAAAGGGUCUCCUCUUCCCACCUGACAGCAGCAUGACAGCAGCAUGACCCGGCGGCCACAGG
rnacentral:lncRNA from 1 species